GUGUAAAAUAUCAAAGUUUCUGUUAUCUAAUACAGUACCUUCCACCAACUCUAAUGACUUUAUUUUAAUAUUCUUGCUGCUGGUGCACCGUUAUCUGAUCAUUGUUUAUAUUAAAUAUACAUGAUGCCAUUAUACGGUGAAACAAAUUGAAACCUCAACUAAUUGUGUUGACAUUAACACUUGCUACUGUUGAAUGUUGUUGUUUGAUCUUCUUAGCUAGAAGAUUUGGAUAGUACUUUCUUGAAUUCAACAUCACGAUCACCAUUUUGUAUAACCCAUUUAUAUAUUCGCAUAUUUACUUUUUCAGGUGGAAAACAAUCCAUACGAUCCCAGCCUGAUGGUUUUUAUGGAUUAUAGAGACUACUGGAAACAUAAAGUUCAAUUCUUAGAAGCACAAUAUCCAACAUUUCUGUAUGCCAUGCCUGUGUCCCCAACAAGAGUUUUCUUUGAGGUAUGCCUCUGGGACUACUUCAAUAAGAAGAAGCAAACUAUAUUAAUUCCAUGGAGAAGAUGGUGCUAUUUUUGUCCCUGGUGGUGUAGUUAGUAUAAAAUUGGGCGAUAUUAAGAAUCUAGUGCUUAUAUGGUGGAAGAAUUGUUAGACAUUAAUGUAUGUGAUAUUUGUGAAUAUUUGGAUGACAAUGUAUGAAUAUUUUGAAUGUUAUAUAAUAUAUGUUAUCGAUGGCAAUGUUA